UACUGAUAUGGCUGAGCAUUUGCUGGAGAUUUGCCUGGAAGAAUCGUUAUACAAUGAUCAUGCCGACGGGUAAGAGGUAGGUUGCGCGGUUCGUCAAAUAUAUUUGAAAAUUUAGCAAGCAAAGGAAGUAGAUUUGGAUCUUCAAAUUUUGUUGGCUCUCCCUUAGUUUGCUGCUUAAGUUGUACUAAAAAGCUGCUGCAUGCUUUAUGCAAAACCUUCU
rnacentral:lncRNA from 1 species